GCAGUGUGAUAUUUGAUAAUGUAUGGUAUGUAAUAGGACAUGGCACUAGACACUAUUAAUAGAUUUAAUGUAUCCAACCUUUUUGAACACAUUGUUACAAUAAAGAGCAUGAGAGUCGAAUUUGGAAUAGAAGGUAUAUGGGUAUAUGAGCGAAGGACAGGGGAUCGAGCAUAUCCAUCUCACAGUGAAGGUAGGUACUGCUGGCUGUGUACGGUAUGUGUAUGUAGAAAUACUCACCUUGUUAUGUAAAAUAAAUACCCACCAUGAAUUAGCUACCAUAUUUAAUGUCAAAUUAAUGGUCUGCUCUAUGUAAUGAUUGAUCUAGGUAUAUGUAUAAACACAUAACAUAUAUACAGUAUGUUAAUCCAUAUUCAAACACAUCUAUCUGGCUGAUUG